UUUUUGAGACAGGGUCUCACUCUGUCGCCUAGGUUGGACUGCAGUGGUGCCAUCAUGCUUCACUGUUGCCUUGAACUCCUGAACUCCUGGGUUCAAGCAAUCCUCCUGUCUCAGCCUCCCGAGUAGCUGGGACUACAGGUAUGUGCCAUCACACCUGGCUAAUUUUUUUUGUUUUUGAAGAGAUGGGUUCUUGCUAUGUUGCCCAGGCUGGUUCACUUGAAACUUCAAGUUUCAAAGUAGGAAUUUCAAGUGAUCCUUCAGCCUCAGCCUCACAAAGUGCUCGGACUACAGGCAAAUGCACGGCCUAGGAUAUUUCUGAUUUUGUGCCAUUAUCAACAGUGCUGUGAAAAAGAUCCUUGUUGAUAAAUCUUACAUGUGUACAUAGGAAAUUUACUUUGUGUUACAGUACACUGAAAUUCAGGAUAUAAAAUGGAUAACUGGCAUUGAAGAAAUCUAGCACCCUUCUCCCUAAGAAUUGCUGACAUAUUUCUAGUUAGGCAGCUACUGUUAGAACUACAAGGCCUUCCUGGUUUCAUAGAAGCCUUGCUUUCAGUCAAAUGAAUGGUUUCUUCAGUUUGCAAUGCAGAAACAUUAAAAUAACUUUUAGAAUCUAUGAGGAGAAAUGAAAGCAAAUAAAAUAAAUAUUAGGAAAGAUUACUAAUCUUGUUAGGAAUAAGAAAAUAUAACAUAGAAGUAGAGUAAUUCCAUCAAGUAAGGUUUCAGACUUGAUUAAACUAGCCUGAAACUUUAUCUUCCAGAAAACUCUCAACUUUAGAUAAUCUGUAGCAGGCUUUUCAAUUACAGAAACUAGUUAAACUGUUUCUACUUUCUUAUAUUUUCCAAUUCAAAAAAAUGAGAUUAAAUGUUCCUAAGAAGAAGACUCUAAAAUGGCAUUAUCAGCUCUCAUUCUAGAUUUACUGCUUCCACUGAACAGUUGCUUCUGAAUUGGCACAAGACAUCCAGUCACUCGCGAUUGGGAAUGAAUCAGUCCCUAAAAUCAUUCCAGAAUUUGGAUAACGGAGAAGUUUGCCUCCUGCCAAAAGCCCAACAAAUGCUGGUAAAAUUUAGGAAAGUCAUUAUCAUGAAAGCCUGCAAUGGUUUCAGAGAACAUCUCUUAGUAGUUACUGCACUCUAUGACCUCCAGAAAAAGUGUAAGCAACUCCAUGCGUAUACACAGACCGUGCCAGUUUCCCUUAAAAGUCUCAUUCUCUUCAUCACCACUGAGUGGAAUUAAAAACAGUUGGUCAAGCUCCACUAAUCAACAGCUGCUUGCAAUUAGAUGAAGCAUUUAAAGCCAUUCUCUUAACUACCUUCCCAACUGCCUAACCAUUCAGCAUGAGCAAUACACCAUGACAAUUUGCCAGAAUGUUUAACUUAUCUCCAUCUCUAGUAGUUUCUAUACCUUCCUUAUUUUCUUCAGUCUUCCCACACACUGUCUGACUCUUCCAGUUCCUCUUGUUAAAUACAGAGAAGGGAUUAGUUGAAACAAGGUCGAGCCGAGCUGCUUUGUGCUAAGAUGGAAAAUUCUGCCCAGGCGACUAUUAGGGGGCAGAGUAAUUUUGGUGUUUCUCAAAGAGAAAAGAUGCCUUUUUCUUUUCUUUUCUUUUGUUUUUUAACAAUGAACUGGAGAGUUCGCUUUAACUUUUCUCUCUUAGAAUGAUGAAGAAAGCAAGUUACUGGGCUUUUGUGAACUGUUUUCAAUUUUCAUAACUUCUAACUAGUCAUUUUAAAGCAGAGAGAAAAAGUACAGAUCACUUUAUUCAAUUGUUUUCUUUACAAAUAAAGAAACUGGGCAUCAAUAGUCUAGUUGCUCUUCCCAAGGUCACAUAAAAAGUGGCUGAGUAUGAACUGAAUCCACUUCUCCCGAUUCUCAGUCCAGAUCACUUUCGAUGACUUCAGCUGCCUUUUUCACAAAGAAAACCUCUCCAGCUCAACAGCUCUACCACUUGCGUUGUCCAAGGGUUAGAACUGCAGUCCUCCCAGCCUGCUCCAUCACCCAGGCCUCCAGCCUGCCCAUCUUAGGACUUAAAGUCAAAGGGAAAAAAUUAUAUGGCUUCUUCUUUGCAAUCAUGUUUCUCACUAUCCUACCUUCCCCUUCCCACCUAAAAGAGACCGUCCAAAAUCUCCAACUAUAGUUCUUUUUCUCCAUCUCACCCUCUGAUGUACUCAUUUUGCCUAUUUUGUCAUACAGGGGGCAGGAGGAGAAUGAAAGAAAGAAAGAGAAAAGUAGUGGGGGGUGUUAUUAGACAGAGGCAAUUUUGCCUGCUCAAAACUCAAGAAGGAGCUGAGAGCUGAGACAGGAAUGGCAGCCCCCACAGCCUGCAUGUCAUGCUCAUAGCCUGUCUCUUCCCAAACCCACCAUUCUUCCCGAGGCUAACCUUCUCUAGAAACCUCCUCCCCACAACCUCAAGCCUCUAGUCCAGUCUUUGAAAAUCAUGGGGUCUUCCUUCUUUAUCUGAGGGUACCUGAGUACAUUAUUUCAUUUUCUCCUUAAACUCAUAUUUCCAUUAUACUUACCAUGUAGAGAAUGUUAUUCUUAUAUAUUGUUUGGCUUCAGAGUAUUUUGAUCAUCUUAUUAUGCUUUUCCGCAACUCUAUAUAUAUGCUUAUACUUAUAUUUAUGUGUUUAUAUUUAUAUAUCUGUUCCUGCUAUAUAUUUGUAUAUGUAUAUAUAAUAUGUCUGUACUACAUUUAUUUUCAUAUACACUGUAUAUAUAAAAAUGAGGGAGAGGAAGAGAGGAAUUUUAAAAAUUUUCAUGUGGCCAUAACAAGUGUUAAAAAGUAUUCUUCUUGGAGUUAUUAUUACAUUUAUUUCAAAUGUACAGUUAAUCAACAUCACAUAAACAUAUUUAAAAUCAUAUAGAUAAUUAUUAAACAUAUAAAGUAUGUUGUAUCAGAAAUGAAUCUCUUGGAUGUGAGGGUGAUCUGGCUGCAAUAUCUGUCACCCCAUUGAUCGCCAGGGUUGAUUCAGCUGAUCUGGCUGGCUAGGUGGUGUCCCCUUCCUCCCUCACUGCUCCAUGUGCGUCCCUCCCAAAGCUGCAUGCUGGGUCAAAGAGGACAACCAUCCCUGAUGGAGGAGGAUGGGUCUUCGGUCAAGGGUAUAGGAGUAACAAGAGUAACUGCGUUCCCCUGCUAGAACCUCCAAACAAGCUCUCGAGAAAUGAAUCUCUUAACAAAUUCAGUGGCAUGUUUUUCAUCCGAUUAAUUCAUGUAUAGCAGGUCUUUGAAUAAACUUGUUUCCUUCAACGUUGUUUUGUUAUAAUGUUAUUGGGAAAAAAAAAUAGUUCCCAGGCUGGGCUGCCAUCUGCGUGGAUUUGCACGCUCUCCCCAGGCCUUCGUGAGUUUUCUCCCACAUUCCAAAGAUGUGCACGUUGGGUGAAGUGGCAUGUCUACACGGUCCCCGUGUGAGUGUGGGUGUGGGUGUGAAUGCGUCCUGCAAUGAAAUGGUGUCCUGUCCAAGGUGAAUUCCCACUGGCACCCUGAGCUGCCCAGACAGGCUCCAGCCACCCGUGGCCCUGAACUGGAAUAGACUGAUAAAUAAUUAUCUUACUUGGUUUUAGUCAUCUUUUUAAAAUGUAUGUAUAGCUCACACUUAUUUUAAAGUUUAGUAAGUUUUUUUUCUUUAUUUAGAAGUUUGGUGACAUUUAUGUGACCAGAAAUAUGCCAUAGGAACUUAAUUCUUGUUCAUAUCAAUUAGCCUGUGGUAAAAUUGGUUUCCUUAUACAUCAUCUCACUAACAUAGCAGUUUCCAAGAACUUAUUGAUGAUAUUAAGUGAGUUACUGUAUUUAUAAUUCGAUAUUCCUUAAUGCUAAACUGUAGCCAUCUUCAGAAUCAAUUCUUUUCCCAAUUUUUCAUUUUUAUGGAGGUAAGCACUGAGAAAGUAGUUGUUUUAGUCACCUAAAUAGAGGAAAUGAAAGACAUUUUGUUAUAGCAAUAACACUAAAAGUUCUACGAUUUUGUAGAAAGCCAAGAAUUAGAAACCAAUUGACUUGAAAACCAGUAAAAACAAGUAAAAACUUUUUUUUACUCCAUGAUUAAAGUCAUUCAUUUUUUCAACAGCAAAGUCAAGAUUUUGAGUUAUUCCUCAUUUCAUCCCUCAA
rnacentral:lncRNA from 10 species